GUGGGGAAUUUUGGACAAUGGGGGCAACCCUGAUCCAGCAAUGCCGCGUGUGUGAAGAAGGCCUUCGGGUUGUAAAGCACUUUUGUCCGGGAAGAAAUCCUUUUCGAUAAUACCGAAGGGGGAUGACGGUACCGGAAGAAUAAGCACCGGCUAACUACGUGCCAGCAGCCGCGGUAAUACGUAGGGUGCGAGCGUUAAUCGGAAUUACUGGGCGUAAAGCGUGCGCAGGCGGUGAUGUAAGACCGAUGUGAAAUCCCCGGGCUUAACCUGGGAACUGCAUUGGUGACUGCAUCGCUGGAGUAUGGCAGAGGGGGGUAGAAUUCCACGUGUAGCAGUGAAAUGCGUAGAGAUGUGGAGGAAUACCGAUGGCGAAGGCAGCCCCCUGGGCCAAUACUGACGCUCAUGCACGAAAGCGUGGGGAGCAAACAGGAUUAGAUACCCCGGUAGUCC
rnacentral:rRNA from 1 species